GUGUUCAAUGAAAGGAGCUCUUUGAAUUUACGGUGGUUCUGAGUCAUUCCUAAAAUACGUGAUGACAAUACAAAAUAAAAUAAUAACACGCUUUCCCAAAGAAACAGCAGUUGCUGUCAUAAUUGCCACUUGGUGGGUGAGUUGGAAUAUGUUUCUAACAGGUAGUGGAGACCCUCGGAGGUUGUAGCCUCUCCAGAAGAGUUCUGGAAGCUGCCUGGCUCAGCCGUCCCUCAGAAAGAAGCUGCUCCGACCUCUGCUUCUGACCUGUGCUUCUGAACACCUGCUAGCGUUUAGCCAGACCAGCGGCGAGGUCUCUGGAGCCUCCACUGGAGGGGGUCGGGACACAGCCUGUGGAUGCUGACCUCCGGUCCCCACACAGAGCCACCCUCCUGAGAGUGUCACCUACUGAUGUGGAACUCUGGGGACUCGGGAGGGCCACACCUAGGGCUGCCUCCUGCUUGACUCCCCCUCAGACCUGUGGCUCCCCAAUCCUGCCUCUCAUUUGGACCAGGAAAGGGGAGGGUGGGACACCUGAGGAACAGAUCCCUUAGAAAUCAGGUCUCGUGUCUCAAACAUUCUUCUCUGAGGUCACGCAUUACCGAGGAGAAGAGUCACUUCAUCGGAUCAUUUGAUCUCUACUUUUGUCCUUACCAACCCACUCUUUGCUUAAGGAGAAGGUUUCACAGUGGACUUGGGGUACACCUGAUUCUGGAGUGUCGGAAAUUAUGAGCAUAUCAAGGUGUGCAAGUGUCUGAGGACAGUCCUGGGGUGUCCCUAAGAGUCGCACGUGUGCACCUGAGCAUGCUUGCCUGGGCCAGGAGAGGCUGCUGCCUCUCAGAGACCCCUGCUGUGAACCCAUCCUCCUCCUCCCUCCUCUCAAAACCAGAGGCUAAGGGGCGGGUGACUGGUGGGGUUCAGGGCCUGGGGGAUGGUGCUUUCAGAACCUCACCUGUGGCCCUGUCCUCAUCCGAGAGAAGAGACAGCUGCCUUUGGGUCUCUGGGUCCACGGAGCCGGGCCAGGCCAGCAGUGGGCAGGAAACAGCCCUUGGCCCCUGCUGAAGCCGUCCAGCUGUCCUUGACAGACAGCACCCUCCAGCCAGCGUCCCGGGGGAGGGGGUCUGGAACUGGCUUCCUGGAGGCUGGGAUAGCAGUGGCCCCAGGGUGAGCAGCGGACAGCCGAGCUCCCAGCUUUGUUGGGGGGAGUGGAAGUGUCUUUCCACAGAAGAGCCUCUGUUCCUGAGCCAUCAAGCAGUGCAGCUCCUUGCCCCCAGAGGGGACCGAGGGCACAUUCAGAGACCGGGAGAAGCUCACGGGGCUGGAGGGCAGCCAGGGAGCCCGGGUUUUACGGACAAGGCCAAUGUGGCCAGUUGAUGGGACAAUCAGAGCAACACAGGGGACCAGACAGAAG
rnacentral:lncRNA from 1 species